rnacentral:misc_RNA from 1 species
GAUUAAGAACGCAGUGAAAUGCGAUAAGUAAUGUGAAUUGCAGAAUUCCGUGAAUCAUCGAAUCUUUGAACGCACAUUGCGCCCCCUGGUAUUCCGGGGGGCAUGCCUGUCCGAGCGUCAUUGCAACCCUCAAGCGCGGCUUGUGUGUUGGGCUUCGUCCCCCCGUGGACGUGCCCGAAAGGCAGUGGCGGCGUCCCGAAUGGUGCCCGAGCGUAUGGGAACUCUCUUCCGCUCGAACCGGCCCAUUCGGCGCUGGUCGAACCCCAAUUUUUUUUUACCGGUUGACCUCGGAUCAGGUAGGGAUACCCGCUGAACUUAAGCAUAUCAAUAAGCGGAGGA